rnacentral:lncRNA from 1 species
ACCAAUUAAAACUUAUGCACCACAUUUAUAAAAAUUUUCCUUUAACUAAGCACAUUAAAACACAUAUAUAAUGAUUAAAUCACAUCAGAUAAAUCAAACCAGUUUUUAUUAUAAAUGGAUGCCGAAUCCUAAUUAUUAAUAAUUAAGCCCUUAAUCAGGGAUUAAAAGUCGGGGUAUGACAUACUAUCCACUUUAAAAGAAAUUUCGUCACGAAAUUUGUACCACAGAAAAUAAUUCUGGGUACUUCUCAUUCAUGCUAAACUCGAGUUCUCACGUCGCCUCUUCUUGGUCAUGGUGCUUUCAAAGAACUAUUACUAAAGGUAUCGACUUAUUCCUUAGUACUUUAACUUUCCGAUCUAGAAUAGAUUCGGGUCUCUCCUCAUAUCAAUUGGAUUCCUAAUUCCAAUUUAUAUACAUGAGAUUUACUUGAGAAUAAGUUCCCUCGUCCUUUUGCGGCGGUUCAUUACUCCUACCUCAUUCCUAGGGCUCAUCUACGG